CCAGAAUCUCUGACUUCCCCUGAACGCCUCACUGAAAUCUAACUGCGCAGCUCCGCAGCACAGCGUCGUCAUUGUGUUCUAGAACCUUCUGAGAACAUCGACACUGCUGUGCGCUUUUGAUUGUGUUGGUUACUCCGUGGCAAGUCGACAGUGUGCAGCUGCCCUCCAGCUCCUCUCCAUCUCCAUCUCCCUCUACUUCUAUCACAUCUCUCUUUACUGGCCCUUCUAUCCACUCUAUCUAUUAUUGGUUCUUUUCACCUCUCUCCUAUAACAUCUACCACUCAUCCCUUAAUAUAAGGUUUUCUAUCUCUCCUGUCAAAUCUAAUAAAUCUAUCUAAAUUUGAGGUUUUCUAUCAUUCUAUCCCUCUAAUUCUAUCCCGCUCUAUCUACAUUUGGUUCUGCACUUGUUGCAAGUUACCCUCUGGUUCUGGUUCAAAUAUUAUCAUACCCAUUUGUUCUGGUUCAAGGAUUAUUAUAUCCUACCCAUUUGUUCUGGUUCAAGGAUUAUUAUAUCCUACCCAUUUGUUCUGGUUGGAAAGCUACAGAUUAUUGGUAUCUGUUUUGGAUUCAUUGGUUGAUUGGAACCUGAUCAUUCUGUUUUAUGGAUCUGUGAGUUUCUCUGCUCACACUUCUUCUACCUCUCCUGUCUCUCUCUCACACACAUUUGAUUUGGCCUUUUCAAUUGGCAAAAACCUUAUUGUAUUUUUGAAUUGUCCAUAUUGUAUCAAUAUUCUAUUUGGUAACAGUCAUAAUUAAAUAAAUUAUUAAGUAUUUUUUAGUUUGUUCAUUAAAUUAAUUGAAAAGACUGGAAACACAUAAAUAACACACAUUUUGUUUAGCUUUUGUAUAUCAUUGAAGAAAACAGUCUAUUGUUAAUGUACAUAACAAUAAAUUGAAGUCCAAAUCUAUAUUUAUACAAGAAAAGAGCUGUAGUUGUUCCUGGACCGUGUUGCUGUGGAGCUCUGUACCAACAGGUUUGUUUUGACUGCAAAUAUAUUCAUACCAGAGUACACAUAAUCAGUUUUUCUUUGUACAAGUGUAAAAGUAAUUACACUACAUACAUUGAGUUAUUUGUCUCUAAUUCACAUAUUUGUACCUCAUCUAUAGAUCCACUCACAUUGUUUACAUCAACAAGUUUUGUACGUGCUUUAUUGUUGGUUAAAUCUUUAUGAAAUAAAUAAACAGACUGUAAGGAAAAA